rnacentral:lncRNA from 1 species
AUUAUGAAAUCAGGGUACAUGGCAAAUGGCUUCCAACUGAGGGAAAGAGGAAGCUUCCAGUGCAUUUAAGGUGUGGGUUCAGAAGUACCAGAAUAUCAUUUCCAUUGCACUCUGUUGAUCAAAGCAAGUCACAGGCUAGGCCUGAGUAGGGGGAGGAUGUAGCUUCUAUUUCUUGAUGGGAGGAGCAGUACACACACACAGGGAGAGAUGAAUUAACAGUGGUUCUCUUUGGCGGCUACCUAUCACAGAGGUGAGAAGGAUGCAGAUGAAGGACAAACUGGUCCACUUGUCGGGCCCUUACCCAUGGGAUUGAGAAUAUUAAUGCCAGGAAGAGGUCAGACAUUGAUAUUGAAGAGCAGACCUGUGUUGGAAUGAAUGCAGUUCUAGGGCGAGACUGGUGAAUGAAGAAGGGUAAGUAUGAAU